GUUUAGUUCAAUAGUGUGAGCUUGUAGCCCGAACAGGGGCAACAAAGUGGUUGAAGGUCAGUCCCAUCCAAAAGUAGGGUCUUUAUAUGAUAAUCUCUGGCCUGCCUGUUCCAAGUAGGGAGUUAGACCUUGGGCUUUGGGAGAAGACUUGAAGCCAUUGCCACUAGAAAUGGAGGGAACCAUGUGAGGCUGGUUUCACUGAGCAACAUCACCUCCCGCUCUCUUCAGUGAAAGGAUGCGUGUCGGUCCUUGGUAGCCCAAUAAUGUCCCGUGGGAAGUUCUCAGCCUAACAACCACCUUU
rnacentral:SRP_RNA from 2 species